UCCCUGGUGGCACAAACAGUUAAGCACUUGGCUAGUAACCAAAAAAGUUGAUAGUUCAAAUCCAUCCCAUGGUG
rnacentral:tRNA from 1 species